GGGUGUGAUGGUGAUCUGGUGGUGACAUCUGUCACCCCAUUAAUUGCUAGGGUUGAUUCAGCUGAUCUGGCUGGCUAAGUAGGUGUCCCCUUCCUCCCUCACCAAUCCAUGCUCAUCCUUCCUGAAGCUGCCUAUUUGGUGGAAGAGGAAGACGCUCCCCAAUAGAGGAGGACAGGUCUUUAGUCAAGGGGAUACGAGCAGCUGUGCUUCCCUGCUAGAACCUCCAAACAAGCUCUCAGACAUUGAAGUUGUUUAUUUGUGUAUGAUGAGUGGUUUAUUCUGUUAAUGAGUCUUUUGAACCUGAAAUGAAAGUUAAAACUUU
ensembl:misc_RNA 7SK 7SK RNA